GAUGAACGCUGGCGGCGUGCUUAACACAUGCAAGUCGAACGGAAAGGCCCAAGCUUGUUUGGGUACUCGAGUGGCGAACGGGUGAGUAACACGUGGGUGAUCUGCCCUGCACUUCGGGAUAAGCCUGGGAAACUGGGUCUAAUACCGGAUAGGACCCCACUUUGGAUGGUGUGCUGGAAAGUUUUUCGGGGUGGGAUGAGCUGGCGGCCUAUCAGCUUGUUGGUGGGGUAAUGGCCUACCAAGCCGCAGGCCGGUAGACGGACGGUGGGGGUGUACGGCCACAUUGAGACUGAGAGGCGGCCCAGGCGCGGAAUGGAGGCAGCAGUGGGGAAUAUUGAUCAAUGGGCGCAGGGCGGAUGCAGCGACGCCGCGUGGGGGAUGGCGGCCUUCGGGUGGUAGACUCGUAUCGCUAGGAACGAAGCGUUAUGUGACGGUACCUGGAGAAGAAGCACCGGCUAACUACGUG
rnacentral:rRNA from 1 species